AAAUUAAAAACAAAAGCAAUUUAAAGCCAAAAAGCGGCAAAAAAUUCAUCUAAAACAAAGAAAAAAGUUAAAAUCUGGACUGCAACAAAAACAAAAACAAUGCGGAUGACAUCUUUGGAUGCUCUUGCUCGUGUAAUUUAGGUUACUUUUUUUGCUGAAUUUGUCGUCUCUAAGCCGAUCGACACGAGUUUACAUCACAAUUUUGGAAGAUUCAAACGAAUUUUAUUUUAUUGAGAAAGCCGGAGGUCGUUUUCAUUAACAGCUGCUGAAAAACAUUUUUGUUGACAUCCGAAAAUUCGAACCGACACCGCAGAACGAGUUGAUGGAUUUGGCUUGCUAUGAAAUUUGGAAUUUAAGGACAUCCGAAGACGUUUUGUGAUUCGUCAAGGCUAAACUGGUGGAAAAUAAUCCAAAUUUA